GAUGAACGCUGGCGGCGUGCCUAAUACAUGCAAGUCGAGCGAACAGAUGAGGAGCUUGCUCCUCUGACGUUAGCGGCGGACGGGUGAGUAACACGUGGAUAACCUACCUAUAAGACUGGGAUAACUUCGGGAAACCGGAGCUAAUACCGGAUAAUAUAUUGAACCGCAUGGUUCAAUAGUGGAAGACGGUUUUGCUGUCACUUAUAGAUGGAUCCGCGCCGCAUUAGCUAGUUGGUAAGGUAACGGCUUACCAAGGCAACGAUGCGUAGCCGACCUGAGAGGGUGAUCGGCCACACUGGAACUGAGACACGGUCCAGACUCCUACGGGAGGCAGCAGUAGGGAUUCUUCCGCAAUGGGCGAAAGCCUGACGGAGCAACGCCGCGUGAGUGAUGAAGGUCUUCGGAUCGUAAAACUCUGUUAUUAGGGAAGAACAAAUGUGUAAGUAACUAUGCACGUCUUGACGGUACCUAAUCAGAAAGCCACGGCUAACUACGUG
rnacentral:rRNA from 1 species